UAAGCGCCAGGACUACUUACAGGUCGGCAGGUAAGUAGUUGACGAGGGGAAGGUUCAUCGAAAUUUUCGGCGGAUACCUUCAGGUUGUCCAUCGCAACCAUGGAGUCUUACUGAAAAGGCUGAGGUGACUCGGCUCACAAAGAGUAAGGU
rnacentral:ncRNA from 1 species